CUGUCUCUUGCUUCAACCAUAUUUGAAUGGAACAG
rfam:Myotis davidii contig32829, whole genome shotgun sequence.